CCUACGGGAGGCUGUAGUGGGGAAUAUUGGACAAUGGGGGGAACCCUGAUCCAGCCAUGCCGCGUGUGUGAAGAAGGCCCUCGGGUUGUAAAGCACUUUCAGUGAGGAAGAACGCCUGGUGGUUAAUACCCAUCAGGAAAGACAUCACUCACAGAAGAAGCACCGGCUAACUCCGUGCCAGCAGCCGCGGUAAUACGGAGGGUGCGAGCGUUAAUCGGAAUUACUGGGCGUAAAGCGCGCGUAGGUGGCUUGAUAAGCCGGUUGUGAAAGCCCCGGGCUCAACCUGGGAACGGCAUCCGGAACUGUCAAGCUAGAGUGCAGGAGAGGAAGGUAGAAUUCCCGGUGUAGCGGUGAAAUGCGUAGAGAUCGGGAGGAAUACCAGUGGCGAAGGCGGCCUUCUGGACUGACACUGACACUGAGGUGCGAAAGCGUGGGUAGCAAACAGGAUUAGAUACCCGUGUAGUC
rnacentral:rRNA from 1 species